UACGUAGGGUGCAAGCGUUGUCCGGAAUUAUUGGGCGUAAAGAGCUCGUAGGCGGUCUGUCGCGUCUGCUGUGAAAACUCGGGGGCUUAACCCCCGGGCCUGCAGUGGGUACGGGCAGACUAGAGUGCGGUAGGGGAGACUGGAAUUCCUGGUGUAGCGGUGGAAUGCGUAGAUAUCGGGAGGAACACCAGUGGCGAAGGCGGUUGCCUGGAGCUUUUGCUGACGCUGAGGCGCGAAGCGAUGGGGAGC
rnacentral:rRNA from 1 species